rnacentral:lncRNA from 1 species
AUGCACGCUGAACUAUCAUUUAUGAAACCAAGCUCAGGAAUCAGCCAAUCAGUUAGCUUCCCAUAACAAGUCUAACUGGCUCUGAAGAGUGGAAAGUGCUGCAACAAAACAUUAAAGGGAAGAUAUCCCACAUGUUAAUCUGCUUAUGUGGAAUUGCUUUCUGUUACAGAAAGGGGUGGGAGGGAGAAGCAAGAAUCACAGGUUCAUUGUUUAAACUGAAGAACAGGUGACCUGUUCCAACAUAACAAAAUACCUGGAAGCA